GGUCAGCGUUUAUAAAAAAAGUUUUCUAUCUAUCUAUCCACACAAUAUAAAACCCCUAAAACCCAUCCGUCAAAAGUCACAAAAUCCCAUACUCCAAGUUAGAGUGGUGAUAUACGCUGUAUAUACAUCAUAAAAAUGGAGAGACCAUCAGCUGAAGGCAAAUUUCAGUCAAGAAAAUUGAUUUCCACCAAUUCCAUGGUGUUUGAGUUGCCGGCCUGCCAGUAUCGAUCAGUAUCGUCUGCACUCUGCAAGGAGCGUGGACCACCUCGUGUAUGGCAAUGUUGGUGAUGGAAGAGGCACAACACGCCAUUUUCACGUCGUCUUUGACGUCCGCCGACGUCGAUCUAAAUCUGUCUAAUUUGAAGAUGAACGCGCGUGGGCCGCGUAUGAUUUGCUUAUUUUUGCUUAUACGAAGUAAUUAGGUACUACCGCAGACUACAUUAGUUUACGGGCUCAAUUCAAAUUUAAGAUUGUUCUAAAACCUGAGAGAAUAUUUUGUAAAAUGGUAAGAGUUUUUGUCGUUUUUUUUGCUUGAAUUAUACGUAAAUAAUAUCUGUUCGUAUUCAAAUAUACCAGCGCUUGUAUUUUCUUGUUAUUAUUUAGUUUCAGUAUAUACUGCUAUUCAGCCGUCAAGGCAAACUGCGACUUCAGAGAUGGUACACUGCCAUGACACAAAAAGAUAAAAAGAAAAUCACAAGAGAACUUAUAUCCAUUGUACUGACCAGAAAACCGAAAAUGUGCAGCUUCCUAGAGUACAAAGAUCUGAAGAUUGUUUAUAAAAGGUA